rnacentral:tRNA from 1 species
GCCCUCUUAGCUCAGUCGGUAGAGCACAGCCAUGGUAAGGCUGGUGUCGUGGGUUCAAUUCCCACAGAGGGCUCCG